AGUGAACGCUGGCGGUAGGCCUAACACAUGCAAGUCGAACGGCAGCACAGUAAGAGCUUGCUCUUACGGGUGGCGAGUGGCGGACGAGUGAGGAAUACAUCGGAAUCUACUUUUUCGUGGGGGCUAACGUAGGGAAACUUACGCUAAUACCGCAUACGACCUACGGGUGAAAGCAGGGGAUCUUCGGACCUUGCGCGAUUGAAUGAGCCGAGGUCGGAUUAGCUAUUGGGCGGGGUAAAGGCCCACCAAGGCGAGGAUCCGUGGCGGGUCUGAGAGGAUGAUCAGCCACACUGGAACGGAGACACGGUCCAGACUCCUACGGGAGGCAGCAGUGGGGAAUAUUGGACAAUGGGGGAAAGCCUGAGCCACCAAUACCGCGUGGGUGAAGAAGGCCUUCGGGUUGUAAAGCCCUUUUGUUGGGAAAGAAAAGCAGCAGGUUAAUACCCCGCUGUUCUGACGGUACCCAAAGAAUAAGCACCGGCUAACUUCGUG
rnacentral:rRNA from 1 species